rnacentral:lncRNA from 1 species
UUAAAGUAAGUUAAAUGUAACUUUCUUCUUGGCCACUAUAAGUCAAAAAGGAAAGAGAACCAGUUUUCUCUAAUUACUACUCUCUGUUUUUACGCUUAUGGCUUUAUGAUCCAGUGGGGGUCGUGAAAAAAGAAGAGAAUCAAAGGAAAAAUAAAUUAUCCAUAUCAUCAUGUCCAGGCUCGUGUUUUAGUUGUGUUAUCUGGAAGUUUCGCGGAAGUCCAGCUAGGUUAGAUUUGUCCUACUUUAUUGAGCUUAUGUAUCGAAAUUGUGAACUAUUAUGCGAGUUUUGAAUAAAUAUGUCUUAUUUAUUUGGAUUGGAAUCCCGUUCUAGUAAAUGUUAGAAUACUAUCUUUUAACAUAAUAUAACAUCUAUUACGUUAGGACGUGGAAUUAAAUUACAAAAUCUUGAAUUUAUCCCUUUUUAAUUAAGAUUGGCGGAUGAAUAUUUGGACGUUGACAUUGUUAUGAUAUGGUAUGGAUUUUAAUACUACCGAUGAGUUCCGGUUCGAGUCAGGCAUUUGAUUAUUAUUGCUAUUAUGAAUUUCGGUUCGAGUCCGGUAUUUGAUUAUUAUUGCUAUUGGGAGUUCCGGUUCGAGUCCGGCAUUUGAUCAUUAUUGCUACAAUGAGUUCUGGUUCAAGUCCGGUAUUUGAUUAUUAUGGCUAUUAUGAGUUCCGGUUCGAGUCCGACAAAUGAUUAUUAUGAUUACUAUGAGUCUCGGUUCGAGUCCAGCAAAUGAUUAUUAUGGUUACUAUGAGUUUCGGUUUGAGUCCGGCAAGUGAUUAUUAUGAUUACCAUGAGUUUCGGUUCGAGUCCGGCAUCUGAUUAUGAGUUCUAUAUAUUUGGCCUCUCUUUACUACCCAUUGGUGUCAGUUCAAGUCCAUUGCACAUUUGGAUGACUAUCAUGAUUUAUGUGGAUCAGCGCAGUAUAGAUUGUUUAUGUUUAUUUUCAUUACUUGUGUGUCCCACCGACUUAUGGGGGUACGGUUGGAUUAAUUGUCUUUCAGUGUGCCUAGCGGGCUUAUGGGGGCCCAGUUAGGUUAUGUUUUGUUUGUCUAUUAUUACUGCAUUAUUUAUUUUCCUGUAUCGCAUAAGUUUAUUCCUUUACAACAAUUGCGUAGCUUGGUAGUUGUUUACCUUUCCAUCCAUAUUUACUGAUGACUCAGAUUACGCCUGGAAUUGUAGUUAUACCUUUUCUGUAUUGGGAUCAGUCGACUGAUGAUGCCUACUAAGUACCCGUUGCUUUGGUACUCAUACUACACUUCUGCAUCUUUUUCCUGAUGCAGAUCCGGCAUGGCGAGCUUGCUAUCGUUCGAGGUUGUUCCUCCUCUAUCUACUCUAGCUAGUCUUUUGCACUCGAAAUUGCUUGUGUAUAUUGUGUACAUUUUAGAUUUUAUCUAGUACUCUGAGUGCCUGUUAGUAGUGGCUCCAGUACCGACCUUAUCAGGUCUUGGGAAUAAUUCUUUUGUGUAUUUGGUCCUUUUCCACUCCUUGUUUCAGUAUAUGAGAUAUUUUUACUUUCUAUUUGUUAUUUGUUAUUACUGUCGCUACCAUUAUACAUGAUCUUUUCUGAUUUCUGCCUAUUAGCCCGUUAUCUAUUAUUUCGAAUUAUCUCAAUUAAACUAAUUAGUCUUUCAUACAAAAACAAACUCUUACAAACUAGCAUGAAUUGAUAUUCAUAGCCAUACCCAAUUGUAAUUGGAAUUUAAAAUCAUUAAAAGAUAGGAAAGGGUCAAAUAUAAAAUAUAUCCCAUCAACUUCAAUUUGCCUGGUUCAAAAAGUGAUGCAUAUAUAGUCUUCCCAUAUAAUAAAUAGUGUAUAUAUAUCCUCACCAUCUAAUAAAUAAUACAUAUUAAAAAGUCAGGAUAUAUAUGCUCUACCAACCGGUAUAUUUCUUUUUUUUGAUGAUUCUUUAACUAUCACCUUGUUGUAACAAAACUUUAAUCUAUUAUAUAGAUUACAUAAUUUAUUUGAUAAUUCAUUAUUAAAUAAGAUUAGCAAUGGAUUUUCCCCAAUUAGUAAUAAAAUCUAUCCGUAAUUGAUUCUUAUUUUUUUAAUUAAUAAAUUGAAGUCUGAACACCAAAACUUGACAAACACAUUAAAAAAGAAAAGAAAAAGAGAAGUAUAGAAAAUUGAGGCUAUCGUAAAAGAGUGGAUUCACCAACAUGAGUUGUGGUGUAGUGGAUGGGUCUGCUCCACCCUUAACAAAGGUCGAGGGUUCGACCAACAUGGGUUGUGGUGCAAUGGAUAGGGCUGCUCCACCCUUAACCAGAGGUCGAGGGUUAGAUCCUAGGUAUGAAGAAAACUCGGUUAAGAGCGUUGCCACCCACCUUAAUGGCCCUACAAUGCGCGAUUUGAAUUGGUCGGGGUCCAAUGUAGACACCGAACACCAAAUGAGAAACCAAGAAAAAGAGUCCAAAUGGGAAACCAAAAAAAGAGUGGAUUCAAGAUCUGCAUAGUUUGACCUAAUCGUCAACAAACUAAGUGCCUAAAAAUCAUAAAAGAUUAAAAAGUUUAAAUCUCACCAUAAAAAAAGAAAUCUUGCACUUACAUAUAUCAUCCUUUGAAAUAUAUCAUAGUUUGCAUACAAACCUGAAUCGAUAAAAAUAUUUAAAAAAUAUUUUACGAUUCAGGUGUGUUUGCAAACUUUGACAUACAAAGGCUAUCAAAAAGCUGCAAAAAAAAAAAAAAAGAACAAAAAUGGCUAUGAAUUGAUGUCAGGCUUCAAAAAGUGGCUAGUGUUUAUAUAGAUAUAUUGGGUAAUGUUAAAGAAAAUCUUGGCCGUUGAAUUUAUACCCAAAUAGAACAUUUUGGAGGCUGUCUUUGUACCACUUAGAAAACCCUAGUUAUGUAUAAUUACAUUUGUAGCCUUACUAUAUAUUAUGAUAAUUUAAUUAAUUCCUACCAAAUAAUAAUGAGAAACAAUUAGUAAUAAAUUAUGUUCUUACCAAAUAAGUUCAAAGAGAGUGUGGCUUCUGAAUAAAAUGCUGCAAGUUGAAGUAGAUCUAGUGUCUUCAAAAUCUACAUACUAUCAUAAUAUUAUUAAAAACAAUUAUAUAUUCAGUGGCGGGUGGCCUUUGUAUAUUUUAUGUAUAUACAUUAUAUUAUUUUAUACCUCUAUCGACAGAAAAUUAUAUUGUUUAUAAAUCACUAAAAUUAUAUUUUAUGUAUAUAUAAUAGAUGUCGAAUCUCUUUCAAUUAAUUUCUAUUUCAAAUUUUGAACCCCUUCGUGGAAAUCCAAGCUUUGCACCUUGUGCAUGUCAUCCUUUAAAGUAUGUCAUAGUUUUCAUACGAACCUGAAUCUAUUCAGGUGCUAUCGAAGCUUUGACAUACAAAGGCUAUAAAUCAAAACAAUUGCUAAGAGUAAAAUAAAAAAGAAAAUGGAAAAAAAUGAGUAUGAGUUUGUGUGAGUUUUCAAAAAAGUUGCUAGGUAUAUAUAGAUACAUACAUUGAUGUUAUUCCCUACUAUAAUAUAGUUUGGAGGCUGUGUUUAUAACACUUAGAAAACCCUAGUUCUAUGAAAUUACUUUGUAGCCCUUUUAGAUAUUUAUAUUAUGACAUUAUUGACCUUGUAUCUUAUUAUAUUGUUGCACUAAAUGUAUGCCACAUGAAAGGGCUAAGCCAUUUGACCUUAAGGAAAUUAAAGAAAGAAAUGCAUAUAAAAGAAAUUUUAACUUAAUUGAGAAAAAACAAUCUCAUGUUAGGCGAGUCAAGAUUUGAAGUUUAUGAGUUCUGAAUUCUAUUACUUUUAAGUUAUUGAUUUCUAAAUUAACACUAUAUACAUAUUCAAUGAAUUUUUACGGCAAAGCUACUGGCUUUGGCCGAAUCUGAUUGUCAUCUUUUAUUGUUCUUCUCUCUAAUUCUACUUUUCCAAAGCUAAUGAUAUUUUAGACCUUAGUUUGUUAUAAAUAAAAAAGCAUAGCAUGAAAUAUCUCAAUUUUUUUUAGGUUCAUACCUGACUACUAAAUGUGUGAGUUUACUAUCUUAACAAUUAACAAAUAUUUAUCGAAACACACGUUGACUACUAAAUGUGUGAGUUUACUAUCUUAACAAUUAACAAAUAUUUAUCGAAACACACAUUAACUAUCAGUUAUUCAUUUUUCCUAUCUAAAUGAUGGUGUUUUUGAUCCUCAACUCUUUGUUAUAUAUAUAUAGAAAAUUGUAAGAACUAUAUAUAAACACAGAACAAGUGCUGGAAAGAAGAUGUUUUAUUAAUGAAGCAGAAAGCGUAUUAAAUAGAGUUGCAGGUAAACUAAGACGAGUCCUAAACUAACUAAACUAGACUAGUCCUAAAUAAACAGAACUGCUGAAACAUAAAUUCUAAUUACACUUCUAACUACUAACUAAUUUGAUACAUGAUGUUUCAAUACUAUAUAGGUUAAAAGUUACUACUUAUACACAUAUUAAAUCUUGAACAUCUUAUACGAAAUUUCUGGCUCUGCUGCUGUAUAAUGUCACCACCUUAGGGUGCACCCUUUCCCAAACCUCGCAACACGAGAUGCUUUGUGCACAAGACCUUCUGGCCCUUACUGUUGUGAGUGCAUAAUAAUAUUUUCAAUAAAACUACAAUCUCACAACCUACUAAUUAAGUGUUUUCAUCUUGAUGAGACUUCCAACCAAUAUGUUAAAUGAACAAUCAAAGAAUGCUAACAAUAUGCAGUAAGUUUCCAACAUCACUGUAUAUAUGCAGUCAAAUUUUCUAUACAUACAAUAUAAUUUAGCGACAAAGGAUGUUCAUUUGACCAACCUUCAGUUGAUGUGGCUUUGCCACUGACUGUUGGGGGAUGGUAUUUACACAUGCCACUACUUGAUUAAACUUACUACUAGAAAGACUUUGCUUCUAAGCCUAAAGCCAAUGUAUAAAUACUGCUUACUUUGGACUCCCGAUGAACGCACGUGUCCACCACUAGUAUGAGAAACAAGCAAUAAGUAGUAGUACAACAGCAGAUAAUGACUAUAACCAGACUACCACCAAAUAAUAAUAUCCUCAAUCUACCCAAAACAACAGACAUCAUCAAAACUCCAACAACAAAAAACCACAAGCAUAGCACGACGACUGUUAGUACAGACAACAAAAACAAAUUAAAACACACCUUCCUACUACCCUUCUACCCUAACAUGUGUUCUCCACACCUUCCCAUCUAGGGCAUGUCCUCGAUAAGCUGUAAUUGCUCUAUAUCCUGUCGAAUCACCUCCCUCCAAAAGUCCAAAAACCAAUAAUGCCCAUCCCUCCAAAAGAAAAUCCAAUAGUAAUUUGACUCAGCUAUUUCCAGAAUUAGUGUUUCUAUAGCUAUGUCCAUGUUCAUCUUGUUUGAUUCUAAUUCUCUGCUAUGUCACACAACUCUAAUUCUGAGAUAACAAACUUACUUCGUAUUGCUACCACACGCAGAUCGGAAUCAAUAAAGAAGUAUGCUACUUCGGUAAACUUGGUGGUGGCGGAGAAAGUAUUUGAGCUCUACAUCCUGAUGGAAGAAUAGUUGCUCUAUCAGUAGAGGUAUGUUUGACUACUGGAAAUACUUCUUCUUUGCUCCAUUGGGUCUUUGAUGUGAGGGAACUUACUAGUAGUUUCAAUGCUUCUUUCAUCCACCUGUUAGGGCAAAGUUUUCUUGUUUUGCACAUAUUCAUCUGAAAUUGAAUUUUGGACAAGCUGCUUAUCAGCAAAUGGAAAUGUGAUUAUGUUUUAAAAGAAUGAAUUAUCGCGUACCCAAGUUCUUUCAUGAAUCUCUUUCUCAUGCCAAGAGUCUAUUUCAUCUGUUGUAUUCUCAAAGUAGCAUCUUCGCUUCUCAGUUUGCUCUGCAAAAGUAAACAAAAACCAGAGCAAAAAUAUUGUUAGAACCACUUACAAGUCAAGAAGACAGCAGACCAUAAGAUUUAAAAAACUGCCUAUUCCUAAUCGAAAAGGAGCGAUCACAACAUCAGAUUGAAUCAUUAAUUAGUGCGAAGAGUCUUGAGAGCAAAGAGCUGCAAAGUAACUUUUUUGCUUAACUAUCUAGCGCUCAAUGUUUUUGCUAGAAAUUUGACAGAUGAUAAGACCUUAACUAAACCACAGCUAGCGGUUCGUCAUUUAUCUGAUGUAAUAGCACUUUGCCUUUUCUCUGCAGAGGCAUGCAUCCUCAUCUACUAAUGCAAAUUAUUUCGCAAGUAGAAAGGUGAGCAUCAGCUUCUAAUGGAGAGUACACGAGAGUAGUUUUAAGGAAUGAUGAUAUAAGGAAGUACCCCACAUGUAGCAAAAGUGUGUUACUAAAGUUAGAGCAUGAUCAUUACCUUGACAAGAAAAUAAGAACAAAGGAAAUAGCAUUGAAGUAUUCAUCUGUUAAAAAAACCAUGAUACUUCAAAACGAAUAUGAUAAUUGAUUGCCGAGGAGAAAUCCUAGUCCUUGAUUCUCACUGAAAAGGUGCUAACUAGUUAAAGAAACAACAUAAUUUAUUUAAUCAAAUAAUUGAUUAGGGAGUGCUACUUGAGUUAAUAUCGCAUGAUUCCAGGAUCUGAUUUGAGCAUAAAAAAUUCAACACUUGUUGUUACUCUUUAACUUACCUUCAUUAAUCCAGCAUAAAUGGAGACAAGAUGAAAUGUAAAUCACCCAUCGAUGAGCUCCUGCCAAUAGGGGAAACAAAGAGGGAAAAAGGAAAGAAAAAAUUGAUCAGUUUUGGAAAAGAUUUUGCAGCUAACAACAAAAAGAAAACAAUUACUUACUAUAUUCCUGGCAGUUGAUGUUGCUGCAAAGUGCAUCUACUUGUUGCUUAGAAGAGGAGCAACUGGCUUCAUCAUGGUGUUCACUAUAAUCAAAUCUGCUCCUCCUUGUCCCAAGGCAAUGUUCAUCAUUAUUUUCCUUAAUUUGCAACAAGGACUAAACGCCUAGUUCAUCUUUAUACAACAAAUGAAAUAUACACUCAUUUUUUUUUUCGAGGAAGAUAACAUGAUGUGCCUAUAGUCAUUUGGUGUUGUUCCAUUUGUGUUAGAUAUAUC